rnacentral:rRNA from 1 species
GACAGAGGUGCCGAGCGUUAGGCGGAAUCACUGGGCUUAAAGCGUGUGUAGGCGGAUCGUUAAGUACCUUGUGAAAUCCCACGGCUCAACCGUGGAACUGCUGGGUAUACUGGCGGUCUUGAGCCACCUAGGGGCGAGCGGAACAAGUGGUGGAGCGGUGAAAUGCGUAGAUAUCGCUUGGAACGCCAACGGUGAAAACAGCUCGCUGGGGUGUGCUGACGCUGAGACACGAAAGCCAGGGGAGCGAACGGG